rnacentral:misc_RNA from 1 species
UCUCCGUUGGUGAACCAGCGGAGGGAUCAUUACAGGACUCACAAGACUCCUACAACCCUGUGAACUUAACUAUAAGCACGUUGCUUCGGCUGGUGUCUCGGAGGAGGUUCUCCCUCCCCGAGACGCUAAACCCGCCGGCUGCCGACGAUACUCUGUCUCUUUGCGUUGGCAUCUCGAGUACAAUCAACCAAGUUAAAACUUUCAACAACGGAUCUCUUGGUUCUG